AGCUCCAAUAGCAUAUACCAAUUCUGCUGCUGUUAAAAAGCUCGUAGUUGGAUCUACUCCGAGGGCCCAGUCUGCCUAACGGGCAUGUACUGGGUUCCGAGGAUACUCUAUGCUGGUUUUCUCAUGGUGCUCUUGAUUGAGUGCCUUGGGUGGCUAGCACGUUUACUUUGAAAAAAUUAGAGUGCUCAAAACAGGCGUUACGGCCCGGAUAGUGGUGCAUGGAAUAAUGGAAUAGGAUCUCGGUUCUAUUUUGUUGGUUUUAGGAGCGCGAGAUAAUGAUUAAGAGGGACAGACGGGGGCAUUCGUAUUGCGGCGUUAGAGGUGAAAUUCUUGGAUCGCCGCAAGACGAACAACUGCGAAAGCAUUUGCCAAGAAUGUUUUCA
rnacentral:rRNA from 1 species